rnacentral:rRNA from 1 species
UGGCUCAGGACGAACGCUGGCGGCGUGCUUAACACAUGCAAGUCGAACGCUGAAGCUUGGUGCUUGCACUGGGUGGAUGAGUGGCGAACGGGUGAGUAAUACGUGAGUAACCUGCCCUUGACUCUGGGAUAAGCCUGGGAAACUGGGUCUAAUACUGGAUAUGACAUGUCACUGCAUGGUGGUGUGUGGAAAGGGUUUUACUGGUUUUGGAUGGGCUCACGGCCUAUCAGCUUGUUGGUGGGGUAAUGGCCUACCAAGGCGACGACGGGUAGCCGGCCUGAGAGGGUGACCGGCCACACUGGGACUGAGACACGGCCCAGACUCCUACGGGAGGCAGCAGUGGGGAAUAUUGCACAAUGGGCGGAAGCCUGAUGCAGCGACGCCGCGUGAGGGAUGACGGCCUUCGGGUUGUAAACCUCUUUCAGCACGGAAGAAGCGAGAGUGACGGUACGUGCAGAAGAAGCGCCGGCUAACUACGUGCCAGCAGCCGCGGUAAUACGUAGGGCGCAAGCGUUGUCCGGAAUUAUUGGGCGUAAAGAGCUCGUAGGCGGUUUGUCGCGUCUGCUGUGAAAGCCCGGGGCUUAACCCCGGGUGUGCAGUGGGUACGGGCAGACUUGAGUGCAGUAGGGGAGACUGGAAUUCCUGGUGUAGCGGUGAAAUGCGCAGAUAUCAGGAAGAACACCGAUGGCGAAGGCAGGUCUCUGGGCUGUUACUGACG